rnacentral:rRNA from 1 species
GCCCUUAGGUUCGGAAUAACUCAGAGAAAUUUGAGCUAAUACCGGAUAAUGUCUUCGGACCAAAGAUUUAUCGCCUUUGGAUGGGCCCGCGUAGGAUUAGAUAGUUGGUGGGGUAAUGGCCUACCAAGUCGACGAUCCUUAGCUGGUCUGAGAGGAUGAUCAGCCACACUGGGACUGAGACACGGCCCAGACUCCUACGGGAGGCAGCAGUGGGGAAUAUUGGACAAUGGGCGAAAGCCUGAUCCAGCAAUGCCGCGUGAGUGAUGAAGGCCUUAGGGUUGUAAAGCUCUUUUACCAGGGAUGAUAAUGACAGUACCUGGAGAAUAAGCUCCGGCUAACUCCGUGCCAGCAGCCGCGGUAAUACGGAGGGAGCUAGCGUUGUUCGGAAUUACUGGGCGUAAAGCGCACGUAGGCGGCUUUUCAAGUCAGGGGUGAAAUCCCGGGGCUCAACCCCGGAACUGCCCUUGAAACUGGAUGGCUAGAAUACUGGAGAGGUGAGUGGAAUUCCGAGUGUAGAGGUGAAAUUCGUAGAUAUUCGGAAGAACACCAGUGGCGAAGGCGACUCACUGGACAGUUAUU